rnacentral:rRNA from 1 species
AAAUGCAGCCAUAUCACCCUGAAACUCACAACUGACAACCCACUGAAGCUCAGCAGGUGUGAGCCUGGUCGGUACCUGGAUGGGAGACCUCCUGGGAAAGCUAAGGUUGCUGCUGGAA